UUAUCAUCUAGCACCUUAUAAUGCAAAGCUCGAUAUGCAUAAUUGAUCAAGAUAGAGAUACUUAGACAUAGGGAGAAGCCCGAUUGCUUCGGGAUGACACCCCCCACCUUUUACCGCGUUCCGAUUGCUUGUCGUCACUUGCAAUCGGCCUCCCGCGGCGCACGCCGCUCGGCUUGACCCAAUCCGUGCGCGACCACCAAACGACCUCCGAUCCGCGAUCCGAAAAUUAAAGGUCUUCGGUUUCUUGUUCCGAUGCUUCAAAUCCGUUUUCAGGAUUUUACGACGUCGCCUCGGCCCUCCAGGCGAAAACAAAGCCUAACGUCCGUUUCUUUAAUAUCUUUGUAACGGCUCGUCGGAUUGCCGAACCGUCUUCGCCAACGCGUUUCGUUACCUAGCAAUUAGGUUAACAGAGGGUUAAAAGAGAUCAAACCCAACAAUUUAUAAAAAUCCCAUUUUGAGCCCUAGAUUUCAACUAUUGUAAGAAUACUCUACUACAACCUUAGAUUCAUGCAAUAAUCAUCUAUUAGGCAUCAAUGGGCUCCACUAAAAUCAUUUCCAAAGCAUUUGGACCUAUCUUUAGAGAUCUACCAUUAAAGCCCUCAUUUUGGAGCUCUAGGUUUCAAUAGGUAAAAAUCCACCAUUAGAACUUAGGAUCUAAGCAGAACUCAUCUACUUAGCAUCUAGGAAAGCUACUAAUUCGUUUCUAGAGCUUAAAACCCAAGCAAUAGAGAAAUGCCAUUAAAGCUCUUAAAGCUUACCUUCAAAGCAUGCUCCAAUGGAGAGGAAGAAGAUGAAGUUGAUGAAAACCCACCCUUGAGCUUCAAUCUCCACCAAAAUCCAUCUAGUUUGGGAGAGAUUUAGAGAGAGAAAGGGAGCUUUAGAGAGAGAGAGGGAGAGUUUCUCUCUCCUUCAAUCCAUGCGUGUGUGCGUGUGAUGCUUGGGUGUGCACGGUUGAGGGAAGAAGAAGAAGCUGCUGCUUCUCUUAUAAUUAACACCCCUCAAAACACUAUUCAUCCCGGGCAGCUUGAAAUCUGAUAUCUUUCGCCGGAGCUCCCUGAAUGUCCGUUUGAGCUCAAACUUGACAGUCAUGUUCGGUUUUACUUAACUUAACAAGCUGACGAUCACUGAUUCAGUUUCGACCCCGUUUGGUCACUGAAAACUGUACCGAACUGCAAUCUUUAUCAGAUAGCUUUCGGAUUUUAUUUCUCACUCUAUGGGUGUCAGAAAAAUAUGAAACCUUAAAUCUAGCCUCAUAAAAAUAUUUCUGACAUCUCUGCCAAUUUUCAUAAUUUUCUGAGACUGUGCAUUUUCUGCUAAUUUAUCUGCCCCGUUUCCAACAGAAAAUUCUAAAUCUUCUGUUUUAAUUCCGAUUUCAGCACGGGUCAUUCCCAACUUAUAUUUCACUUCUCUAAAUUCAAUAAAAUAGUAUCUCAUACUAUUUUUAUUUAUUUCUAUUUUUAUAUUUAAAUCCGGUAUAUUACAUUACACCGCAACCUUACCGGAAUCAUUCAAAUGGCUCUCCAACCAAAUGGACACCGUAACCUCAUGAUUUUAGAAGUCCGGUACCUUACAUUCUCCCCUUCUUAAUAAGAGUUUCGUCCCCGAAACUCAAAUCACUCCUUAACUCGACUUAUCGAGCAAUCGGAAAUUCCAAUACACUUUCCCACCUCGGAGUGGCCUUUCACUUAUUAGAACUGUUCAAAGGCCCACCUCGGAGGAUGUGAGACUAGAUAUGCUCACAUUUGCUAUGUGCAA
rnacentral:lncRNA from 1 species